GUGGUAGUCCCCGAGCAGCCCUGAAGGAGAAUCUGUCCAGACGUCCAUCAGCUAAGGGAGUGAAAAUGUACUAUACGGUGGGGCCAUUCCAUGCAUUAUGACUCAGUGUAAGAUAAUCCAUGCAAGCAUUUACUUACUUACUCAAAAUAUCUGUGACACAAUCACAUUAUGGGGAGAAAAACUGUUCAUUUGUAUCCUGGGUAUGGAGAUUUCCUAUGAUUCUGUUCCAAUAGCCUUGGGCACGAAGUCAUUCAAGUUAAGGUAAAGAGAGCUGCUAUUAGAAGAAGCUGCACACUUUGGGGGCAAGCCUGAAACAGUGGCCAAGAACAGAGUCUAAUCCACCACCAACAUAUGAUCCUUUGCUGGGAAACAAGCCUGCUCUACACAGCCUUGGGAACGAGCUAAGCCAGAUUGGGGAAUAAGGCAAGGACCAUGAUUCUAUGUUGGUUUAUGGGAGGACAGCACAACACUGACUGAGUUGUUUAUAGGCUAUAGGCUAUGCCUGCUAUGUACAUAUCCCACUCAACAUUUGUUUUUAUGCCUUCAGAGAAUCCUGGGGGGUCUUUAUAUUAAGGAUUACCUCAGAAAGUAAACACUUGACUGCAAUGUACUAUGCUUAUAUUGUGUGAACACACAUGUGUUCUGUGUUUGGGAGUGUGUAUUAGUGUUUCUGUGUGUCUGUGUGUGUUUGUAUGUGCACACAGGUAUGCAUGCCUCCACUGACAUUACACUCAUCUAAUGACCAGAAUAAGGAAGGAUUAGAGGAAACAAUGCAGGACACUCUGAAGCAGAGAGAACUGAUCACCCAGGAAAGUGACUUGGGAGAAACAGUGUAGAAGAAUUGUGACAUCUUUGAGAUCAGGUCUAAAAUUCUCCAGCGAAACUCGAACAUGGCAUAGACCAGAACAAGAUCUCCCUUGGAGAGCAGUGCCACAGGAGGAGUCUAAGUGUGCACAACAAAUACACCACUAUUACAUCGCAUCCUUAAUAUCCAUAGCAGUUGUGGGCUGCAUUUUCCUACUUUAGUUUGAUUUCUUUGGAUUGAAUAGGCCAUACUUUCAUCUCGGCUCUCCCGAGCAAGCGUGCACAUUUGAAGAAGCGUGCACAGAGAAGAGCUGAUGCACAUCAAUCGAGAACUGCUGAGCAUCCAGGAAGAGUGUGCACAUGUACAUUUGUACUUGUCCUGAAGGGUCACCCAGAAGAGUUUCAUGGAGAUCAGUCCACAACAUUGGAAAAACUUUGAGUCAAAGACUGUCAUAUGUUUUAUACUCAGUAUUGGAUGGCUUUGUCCUUCAUACCCUCACUCCAACAAGGCAGACCUACUUACAUUCCCCUUGAAAAGAUUAUUACCAUCAGUAACUGCUUGUCUACUGUGUUUCCAAGGCAAGUCAUUGGCUAUAAGUCAAUUCUGCAAACGAGCAUCAAAAGAAUGCUUAGGACAAUUCCUCUGUUUACAUUUUGGUUUGACUUUUGAUUACUUUGGUUAUUUGGUUUUCCUUAUAUUCAUUUGAAGUUUUGUUAUUUAUUCAUUGUUGUUUUGUUCAUUCAUUUGAUUUGCUAUUUUGAUAAGGAUACAAACUGUAUAUAUUGACUACCUGCAUCUGGAUACUAUUGAUGUAUUCUGGUGAAUAAAAGAGUGAUCUCAAA
rnacentral:sRNA from 1 species